UCAGCCUCAGCGGUCCUCGCAGAGCUGAGUGUGGGCGUAGGACGCGGUCCCUCACCUUCCAGACGGGAAAUGGAGCCGGGGGUGUGGUCCUUGCCGAGGCUGCACAGCACGUGCACACGGGGCUCAGGGGGCCUGGGUUUGCCGGCUGCGUGUUUACAUCAGUGUGGCUGCUUCGGAACUGGAUGGCCUGGCGGGUGACGUGACCUCUCGGCCCCCCGCUUUCCUCCGUGAACCAAGGACGGUGAUCCUCGUACCUGCUCUGGGCCCCCCCACCUGGGUGGCACUGUGGACUGGGUGGGGAGCAGAUCCCAACUUUCUCGUGAAAGCAGAGCCUCGGGGAGCUCGUGCGUGUGUCUCUUCGUGCACGGGGACCCCAAGGAUUUCUGUGCACAGAAAGCUGUGCGAGCGCUGCCGCCUCGGGUUCGUGAGGGUCACAGCCCUUGGAAAGCCCCCAAGGUGUCAGGCGAGGGCCCCGGGCUCCCCACCCCCGUGGCCUCAGAGACGCCCUGACCUGGGAUCCCUGAGCUGGUGCUGGCAGGGGCACAAAGCCUCUCGGUUCUUGGAAACAUUCCCACAUCCCUUCCUUGAAAUGACUCUGAACCUGAUGGAAUCUCAGAGCACAGAAGGUCCCAGAAACUGCUGGCCGAGUGCCGACCAGAUUCGCGGAAGGGUGCUUCCCCUUGGCCCGAUUCUUCCGGGUGGGGUUCUUGGAAGGGAGGGGGUGUCACGAGUCACCAGCACACUGGGUUCAGAUGAAAAGGCUACAGUUCCCACUAAGAGUCCUUUCCUGCCUUUGCUUUCGGCGGGCCGGGCACAGUGACAUUUGGACACGUUCCCAAAAGUUGUCAACCCAGUGAACCCCUUCAGAGCUUACGGGUUUUACUGGCUGUUUUAACUUCCCUCUUUUUUUUUUUUUUAAGUGAAAGAGCCAAGUUGGCUUAGACAUUAGAUGACGAUGCCCACCCCCCGCCCCCCCCUGUGCCCCCCACCACCCCACCCCCGCUCCAGGGCAGCGCCGGGCUCUGAAGCAACAGCCGGUGUUCUGUGGUUGUUCCUUUAGCAAGAGUUUCCUGUUACCCAAGAUCCAAGCCCUUGGACGAGCGGCUGGAAGAAACUGGACGGGGCUGGAGGUUGGCGGGUGGGGCAGGGCCAGGCUUCCAGGCACGUAGGGUUUGGGGUGUGACCUGCUGCCAGGCCUGGUGGUGACCCCCUGGGGGCGCAGGACCAGGUGCCUGCAGCAGACGUGCAGGGAGGAGCUGGCUCCCUCGGGGUCACCGGCUCGGCCUCUGGGGAGUUUGUUGUUUCAUCUGUAAACUGUAAAUUGGGUGGGUUGGACAGAGGACCAGAGUGCCCCUGUGUUUCAGAAGGGUCUCCUGAGUUUGGAGAGGAGAGGCUGGGUUGGUGGGGGGGCAGUAAAAGGAGGGGGCCCGAACCUUCUCAUCAUGUUAGGAAGCUGGCUCGCUGGGCAGGGGGCGACCCAUGCUUGAGACCUGGCGGGGGCUGACUGCACAUCACGGGCUGCACUGUGUCCCCUCAAUUCACGUGUCAGAGUCCCAACUCCCAGGACCUCAGAUGUGAUAAGGUCUUUAAAGAGGCAGUUAAAAGGUACAUGGGGUCAUUGGGGUGCCCCUGCUCCAACCUGAUCGGUGCCCAUGGAGGAGAUUAGGACACAGACACAUGCCCAGAGGGGCAACCACGUGGGGACGCAGGAGAAGCCCGCCGUGGGCUCUCAGAGCAACCAGCCCUGCGACACCGUGAUCCCGGACUCUGGCCUCCAGAACUGUGGGAGCCCCUGUGGUUCUUGGUCACAGCAGCCCUAGGACAAGAGAAGUACAUGUGCAACGGAGUCAAACCACACGGUGUUGGGGAUUCCCUGGCCGUUCCGUGGUCACGACUCGGCGCUUUCACCGCUGAGGGCCCCGUUUCAGUCCCUGGUCAGGGAAUUGAGAUCCUGCAAGCCACGUAGCGCAGCC